rnacentral:rRNA from 1 species
AACGAACGCUGGCGGCGUACUUAACACAUGCAAGUCGGACGAGAAAGGAGACUUCGGUCUCUGAGUAAAGUGGCGCACGGGUGCGUAACACGUAAGUAAUCUACCCCGAACUCUGGGAUAACUCUCCGAAAGGAGGGCUAAGACCGGAUAGGGUCCCCGAGGUGUAGGCUGCGGGGGGAAAACGGGCCUCUGUUUCAUGCUCGUGGUUCGGGAUGAGCUUGCGGCCCAUUAGCUUGUUGGUAGGGUAAUGGCCUACCAAGGCAACGAUGGGUAGCUGGUCUGAGAGGAUGAUCAGCCACACUGGCACUGAGACACGGGCCAGACUCCUACGGGAGGCAGCAGUGGGGAAUUUUGCGCAAUGGGCGAAAGCCUGACGCAGUAACGCCGCGUGGAGGAUGAAGGCCUUCGGGUUGUAAACUCCUGUCAGGGGGAACGACGGGGAAAGGGUGAUAAGCUCUUUCUUCCAGACGGUACCUCCAAAGGAAGCCCCGGCUAAUUC